rnacentral:rRNA from 1 species
UACGUAGGUGGCGAGCGUUAUCCGGAAUUAUUGGGCGUAAAGAGCGCGCAGGUGGUUGAUUAAGUCUGAUGUGAAAGCCCACGGCUUAACCGUGGAGGGUCAUUGGAAACUGGUCGACUUGAGUGCAGAAGAGGGAAGUGGAAUUCCAUGUGUAGCGGUGAAAUGCGUAGAGAUGUGGAGGAACACCAGUGGCGAAGGCGGCUUUCUGGUCUGUAACUGACGCUGAGGCGCGAAAGCGUGGGGGAGCAAACAGG